GAGAACAUGCAAACUCCACACAGAAAGGUCCCAGCUGGGAGUCGAACCGGGGCCUUCUCGCUGUGAGGCAAGAGCGCUAACCACUGCGCCACCGUGCAGCCGUCUGCAAUAUCAUCAUUUAUAAUUGCAUAUAAUAUAAAUGCAUUUUCUUAUAAAAGAAUGCCGACAGAUGAUGAAGUAGUGGGAAUUUAAAAAGUAUUUUUUUAUCUUUUUUUUCUCUCAUUUUUUUCUAACAAAGUGACGAUUCGCAUUUAAUUUCUAGAAUAUGUGCAGACAAUGCUGAUUUUUUUUUCUUGGUUACAUGUUGCUGAAAGUAUGUGGUUAAUUAUAAUAAAGCCACACUUAAGAUAUUUGCUGUGCCACAUGCUACGCCUGCCUGUUUUUAUAACUACAAAAUGUAGCCUUGGACGAAUUUAAAAUACAUGAGGGCAAUGAAGCAGUCUUGACUGCACGUAAGUAGAUCUUGAAAAUGUGAUUGAAAGAUUUAACAUUGAAAUGGGAAGUUAGCAUUAAUAGUCUGUAGUCUUUGGCGGUUGGGCUCUGAGCCAGAGACAUCUUGCAAGCUUGGAAUGACCUCAGACCAAGUGAUCCCAUACGCUGAUGGUGGUUAAGACCAGACCACGCCGAAUCGAAAAGCCAGACUAACAGAACUGCUGCUAACGGGUAAUUUUCUCUUUUUCUGACCAUUCUCUAUAAAUCCUAUGGUUGUGGGUGAAAAUUUGUUUGGACCACUAUCCAGUUAGACAGCUCAACUACACAAACCACUCCUUUAACUAAAGCCUCGCUGUGCUCAGAAAAAGAACAACCUAGUUUUUACUGACUAUAAAUGUGAUUUGAUCUUUACUCAGGUUAAGAGUCAACAUUAAAAUAUUGUGUAAUCUGUUUUGUUUGCAGCAUCUGUGACCUCUUAACACAUCAACAUCAGUUCACAUGUGUGCACACCUGCAACAGGAAGAUGACUCCUCCCUCUUGUUGGGAAAUCUUGCUGCAGGUUCUAAAUAGACUCAGCUCAGGUUUUGAUUUAAGGUGUACUCUGGAGCAGAAUAAACGUUUUUCACAGGAGGUCUACCACUCCAGCAUCACUGUUUGAAUGAUUCCUGCUCUCCUGUCAUCAGAGGAGACCCUUGUAUGAAGAACUUCCCCCUGCAUCUUUUUUUCCUGCAUCUGCUGGGAUUCAUGAUGGGUCGAUAGAGUCACCUGGGUUCCUUAUGACUUACUGCUCAGGCCUCCACUGGAUUCUGAAGAUUCUGUAAGGGAAUUGCUCCGCUCUCAUAGGGACAAGCUUACUCUAGGUAUAUUUCCACCAUGCAGCAGGAUGACCUCGAUCUGCUGUUUGAAGUUAACCAGGAAGAGAGCCGACGUCAUAGACUGGACUCGACAUCUAGAUGGAUGCAGAUAGCACAACGAGGAACAACACGAGGAACACCUCUGACCAUACUCCUCCUCUCCUGAUACCGGGCUGGGCGUGGAUCCAGUUCGUUACAGUACCACAUGAGGGCGCUGUCAUCAGCCCUUUGACAAAAAGCUGAGAGUGCAUGUAAGGUGAUGCCAGUUUCCUGCCAGACAACCUGUUCAACAUGUACCUAACUAAUAAUAAUAAUACAAUAAUACUAAUUAAAUCUUUUGUAGAAGCUGAGUUUUGUUUUAUACGUAUGAAAAUCAUUCAUAUUUGACCAAAUAAUAAAGUGCCUUAUGUGAAUGUGUAACAUUUCAAGA